rnacentral:lncRNA from 1 species
AUACGUGACGUGCUAGUGUAAAAGAAGGAGCCAAUAGCUCCCAAUAUCUCUCUGCAUGCUAACCAACUCUGGCGGCGCGCGUGCGGCCGAGAGGGCCAGCUGCUACCCUAUAUAAAGAGCCUUGAGGUCUCACAUGAAGGCUAAUAACAAUUCCCAUCCACGGUUUGCAUAGCGCCGCCAGACUCGUAGAGAGGAAAGCAUAUUUGCAUCCUAUCUACAAUAGCGUCCGGCCACGAGGGAAUACAUCGACGAUCAGUCGCCUUCAUCCAGAAGGACCGCAUGUCCAUCCUGGAGCCAGAGGCCACCAGCCAGGAGAUGGCGUUCAUCUCUUCCAAGGGUAAGAAACCAAUCUAAUUACUAGUUAUUGCUUGCAACUUUGCACGUAUCCAUGCAUGUUGGCGAGUAUCAUGGUUCUGGAUGAAAGGAAAAUCACAAGGUCGACAGAUGAUCGAGACGGCGCCAGGCUGCGAUAAUCAUCACGUCACCAUGGGACAGAGCAUCACCGGUGGGCUGUGUUUUGCCGAUGUUGAACGCGCCUGUGCGAUGGAGCAGGGAGCCGAGACAUAAAGCUGGCUGCCAAGACAAGAAUUUAAAGAUGCAAGUACUGCACCAAGAUGCAAGUGCUAUGUCCAGAUGCAAGCAAGGCUAAAGCAACCGGUGCAUGUACAUGCAAGUACAGGUCAUAUACACGCAUGUGAGUAUUAGCCAGCCAGAUGCAUCUACGUGCAAACUCUGGACAUGUCUACCUACAAGGACAGAAGCUAUGCUGGUUGUCAGGAUCUCGGCGCCGUGAUGUAGUUGUGUACGUGUAUGUGCACGUAUACAAGCUAUGCAUCCACGUAUAAUAAAGAUUCAAGUAAGGCGACGUACAAGUCUUCAUCCACUACUUCAACAACUCCACGCGAUCAAGCUCAUGACGUACCAUGACGACGCUGCCGAGGAAGUCCGAGGCGAUUCAAGCGACACCAACCAUAUAAGUGCGAUUAUGGUGACACCACGUAGAGUUCGACACCGACAAGGCGAACGACGCAGGCGGGCAUGGCUGAUAUUCCAGCCAUGUUGUAUCGGCUCAUGGACCGACGAGGCCCUUACGCCAAUGCCACCUACAUCUACACCAACACCAUGCAUAGAGAUGUGAAGCCAAGAUCGAAGACGACGACCACAGCAGCUUAAUCGGAGGUACUCUGUGAGUCAGCUCAUGGGGGUAAUUAACUGGGAGCCUUCCGAGGCCCCAGGAACUAUGAAGACCACAUCGCCUUUGUCAGAUGGCUGCUAGCAAGCUAUGUAGCGCGCGUUAGGCAUUUGUAUUUAUUAAACCUGAUGGUUAAUAAAAAUACAUGUUCCUGUUUAUUAUUAUUAUUAUUAUUAUUAUUAUUAUUAUUAUUAUUAUUAUUAUUAUUAUUAUUAUUAUUAUUAUUAUUAUUAUUAUUAUUAUUAUUAUUAUUAUUAUUAUUAUUAUUAUUAUUAUUAUUUUGUGUACUUUAGUACACUGGCAUGCCCGCACUUUUCCCACACAAGAAGCCGCCAUAGGCGGAUUUUCUGGUGUCCAAACAAAUUGGCACGCCCGGUGCGACAUGGUUCUCCUCCCAUCUCUACUGCUAUGUGGUCGUCGGAUUCGUCUUCCACUACAAGAAAUGCAUGAUUUUUUGACAUAUUUAGUAUGACAAUAGACCGUGAUGUCAUUAUAUCAUCCAGAUUAUGACAUUCUGUAAUAGGCAUUUUGACCUAGUGACAUAAAAAAGCUGGAUGUCAUAAUAAAUGUCAUAGAACUAUUCUAAUUCCAUACCAUGUCAUCGCCACGUCAACUUUUCAUCGUGCGUGGACUCAAUAUUAACACUAGUACAACGAAGCACUACGCUGGAGGUGGAAUACAAAGACACAACUGAGUGAUAGGUGGGCGAACCGCAUGUAUAGUACCUCUGUGUAUUAGUGUAAAAUACGUCACCAAUAUGGAUCAGUGACGUGGGUAAACACAACACGUCACUCGGUAGGAGUCUCUGAUAAGAAGGGGUUGGCAGUGACUCGUUUCGACAAAAUGUGUCGGUGCUAGAAGAGCACGGACCCGAAAAAAUAUCAAAUGUGGUGAAACUAAAUGGGGCGAGGUCCGCACCAACCUCCAAGACCGUCACUUCUACCCGGUGCGGUGGCCUCCCUUUUCCUCCUCCUCUCCCCGGUCCAUCUCCGAUCUCCCCGCACACAGAGGGGCCGAAUCCAUGGAGAUGCCCGUCGAAUCUGCAGCCCAGCAUCCCGAUCCAGUCACGGCCCCUCCCCACCCACUCUCCGUCCCAUCCCUUCCGCCACCAUCGCCACCUCUCCUCUUCCUCCUCCUCGGCGUGCCUCCCCAUCCCCCAACCGCGAUGGCUCCACUCGAGGCGAGAUCUGGUGAGGAGGCAGGGCACCUGGAGAGCAAGCGCUGAGCAUGGCCCUCUACGAAUCCGGCUUGCCUCGAGUUGAGAUCUAGAAGGAGGGAGAUGGGAGAGGAGGUUGUGGCGGUGGGGUAGUUAGUGCUUGGAGGAUCGGAGGAGGAUCCGCCCCGCUCGGUCUCCCGUAGUUGCGGCUCGGCCCGUCCCACCGCCCGCCGCACCAAGCACUACCCGUCCCAGGUGCGUGUCACACAGACCCAUGCCACCCCCUCCUUCUCCUUCCCUUUGCUGUUGGAUGUGGAUUCGUUGUGUCGGAGUAGGGGUCGGACUCGCUGGAUGCAGAAAUCAGGGCUAUUCAGCUGUUGUCGCGUUUCAGCUCAUAUCGUAGCAGAAUUCGGGCGAGAUUUGGUGAGGGAGGACGCGGUUUAGCUAUGAUCUUGCAUACAAAUAUUGUUUUUAGCAAUGAUUGUUGUGGCGCAAAAGAAAUGCAGAGAAGAUAAGUUCUCCCCUGUUUAUAAUGAUUCAUUGUACUAAUGAAUUUGAGAAAUUGUGAUACAAUUUGUUUUUUCUGAGAUGAAACUGAGAUAUAUGAGCACAAAAUCUGAGUUGAAGGAAUUCAGCCAUGUCAAUGCUUAUUUUUCCCUUACAACUUUAAAAUACUAAAAGGUUGACUUGCCUGACAGUUUAGUGUCUUUCUAAGUUUCUAUGUUACUUUAUUCUUCUUUGUAUGUGUAUAUAAUCUGUAUAAAUUUGUCAUCUUGAUUUUAAUUGACUGUACUCUCUAGAGCUACCUAAGAUUGAUUUGUAUUGCCAAUUGCUGAUGUGAACUUUAUAAGUCCCUCUGGUCCCAAUUAUUUUAAUGGAUAAUAAUAAUAUUAUGGCAAAACAGCCUACAAUCUAAACUUAGCACUCCUACAUGACAGUAUACUCCAUAGAUAUAGAAGUUGCUGACUGUAUACUCCUUAGAUAUAGAAGUUGCUGGCUCCUAUGAAG